rnacentral:tRNA from 1 species
GGAGAGGUGCGGGAGCGGCUGAACCGGCACGCCUGGAAAGCGUGUAUACCGCAAGGUAUCGAGGGUUCGAAUCCCUCUCUCUCCGCCA